GGGCCCGUAUCCUCGACAACUAUUAAUACUAAACUUGGUAUUAACUUUCGACUUUGGUAUUAACUUCACUCUCAAAGUGUAUCCUCAACAACUAUUAGCCUAAUACCUACUCUUAACUUUGGUAUUAACUUGAGAGUGCUGGCGAGGACCUCUAAACACUUAAUAGUAAAGUUAAUAGUGAGUCCCAGGCCCAGACCCAUAUCAACAUGGCCACCGGACUUCCUCGUCCAGCCCGCCUCCGCAAUUUAGAGUUUGAUAGGGCGCUUUGGAACUGUAUAACGAUGGUGAACUUGUCAAGACAUACAUAUUAGACCGUGCAGGAAUGGAGUAUGUGACUGAUUUGGUGAGAAGAGAGCUACAGGAUCCAGUUCAAAGGGAGCAUUCCCUCACCCCGGGGUUGAAAGUGAUUUUGACUUAAAGGUACUUGGCUACAGGAAAAAUGCUGCAGUGUUCAAGUGAUGAGUUAGGGGGUAAGCCAGAGUAGUGUAAGCAGGGUGAUUGUGGAAACUCUGGCCGCCCUCAGUGACCCGUAGGUAGUCGGGAGGUUUAUCCAGUCUCCCCUUGAUAGGGUGGAGAUCCGUGUAAAGCAAGCAGAAUUCUACCAACUUGCCGGUGUUGUGGGAGUGAUAGACUGCACCCAUGUGAAAAUAAUGGCACCAAAGGAAAACGAUGUAGUUUAUGUCAACAGAAAAAAAAAUAAACAUAGCUUGAACAUACAAUUAGUGUUUGAUGCCUUUGUUAUUGAUUAAAAUGUGAAAUAUUCGAGUUAAGGAAAACAAAACAUGGGAAAAAAACUUUUAUUUGUAGCAGAAAGGUACACACAUGCAAAUGAAAAAGAUGACAUUAAAAUUGCAUUAAAAUGUCAUUUAGAAUAUGAUUUAUAAUUAUUGCUGCCGGUUAUUCAUAUUGAGAUAAUGGUCGAGGUGACCACAUCGCGAACAUCAUGACUUAUGAGUGAAGUAAAACGAGGUUACUUGGUUUCUGUUUACAAAGUUCCAAGUGGAAAAACAACUUUAUUGUGAAUUCAGUGUAUACUUUUCUGGAGUAUUGUGUUUACUGAGUGAAUUGGUGACCAAUCUGUUGCUAUUUGUGUCUUGCUUGAAGAUAUUCAUCAUUGGAUUCAAAGCUAUGGUAUUAAUGUGCAAUAGUCAUCAUAACAAAAUACGUAGUAAUUAAUUAUAUAUGUCAACCUAUUUAUUUUCAUGAGAUCAUGGUAUGACCACUGAAAAACAGCUUUUUUUUCUUGGCUCCAUUACAAAUUCAGUAUAUAAUUACUCUAUUAGUGGAAUCUAGUUAUCAGCAUCUUUUAUUAUUAUGCCAAUAUUCUAAGCACUCAACUUGCAAACAUGCUUAGGUUUAUGUUGUCAGCUUGGGUCGGACUUAUGUGAACACUUUACCAAGUGACCUAAGAUUACUCAAUGCUCGCAAAGCUAUGGUAUUAACGUGCAAUGGUCAUCAUACCAAAAUACGUAGUAAUUAAUUAUAUAUGUCAACCUAAUUAUUUUCAUGAGAUCAUGGUAUGACCGCUGAAAACAUAGCUUUUUUUUAUCUUAGCUCCAUUACAAAUUCAGUAUAUAAUUAUUCAUAUAUUCAAUAAAGUAGUGGAAUCCA